rnacentral:lncRNA from 1 species
UAAAGACAUGUGUAUUGUUUUUAGCUUGAAAAAUGUUAAUGAAAAAUUGACCAAUUAUCAAACCUGGAAAAUGUUUACUUUGGGGGAAAAUCUUUUAAAAUAGAAUUUCAAUAUUUUGGCUGUUCAUUUUUUAAAUGGGCUAUUUAAUCUAUACUUCUACAGCAUACAGCUUAUUGCAUUUAUAUGGUUAUAUUGAAAUUACACGAACUGGGGCACCUAAGGGAAUGUUUAUGUUUCAGAAAAAAUUUGGGCUGGAUUGAAAUGCAGCAUGAAUCAUAAGAGUUUAGAAGCACAUGAAGAUGAAUGUGUCCCUAGUGACUCAACAGAGAACAUCUGGCACAGAAUUGCCCCAGGUUGCAGUGAGCGGAGAUCUGGAGUGGGAUGGCAUCUAUGCAGUUCUACACAAUCCAUGGUGCAGGCGUGUACUGCUCAGCUCUUCCCCAGCCCUUUUCUCUCCAUAAUUCCUAUAUCCACCCUCAUGUUUUCUCAUGCCCCUCAUGUUUUCUCUCUUUCUCCUUCAGUUCCUUCAUCCUUUUCAGCUGUUAUGUACCUGAAUGAAUAG